GGGUUGUGAGGUUAAGCGACUAAGCGUACACGGUGGAUGCCCUGGCAGUCAGAGGCGAUGAAGGACGUGCUAAUCUGCGAUAAGCGUCGGUAAGGUGAUAUGAACCGUUAUAACCGGCGAUUUCCGAAUGGGGAAACCCAGUGUGAUUCGUCACACUAUCAUUAACUGAAUCCAUAGGUUAAUGAGGCGAACCGGGGGAACUGAAACAUCUAAGUACCCCGAGGAAAAGAAAUCAACCGAGAUUCCCCCAGUAGCGGCGAGCGAACGGGGAGCAGCCCAGAGCCUGAAUCAGUGUGUGUGUUAGUGGAAGCGUCUGGAAAGGCGUGCGAUACAGGGUGACAGCCCCGUACACAAAAAUGCACAUAUUGUGAGCUCGAUGAGUAGGGCGGGACACGUGGUAUCCUGUCUGAAUAUGGGGGGACCAUCCUCCAAGGCUAAAUACUCCUGACUGACCGAUAGUGAACCAGUACCGUGAGGGAAAGGCGAAAAGAACCCCGGCGAGGGGAGUGAAAAAGAACCUGAAACCGUGUACGUACAAGCAGUGGGAGCACGCUUAGGCGUGUGACUGCGUACCUUUUGUAUAAUGGGUCAGCGACUUAUAUUCUGUAGCAAGGUUAACCGAAUAGGGGAGCCGAAGGGAAACCGAGUCUUAACUGGGCGUUAAGUUGCAGGGUAUAGACCCGAAACCCGGUGAUCUAGCCAUGGGCAGGUUGAAGGUUGGGUAACACUAACUGGAGGACCGAACCGACUAAUGUUGAAAAAUUAGCGGAUGACUUGUGGCUGGGGGUGAAAGGCCAAUCAAACCGGGAGAUAGCUGGUUCUCCCCGAAAGCUAUUUAGGUAGCGCCUCGUGAAUUCAUCUCCGGGGGUAGAGCACUGUUUCGGCAAGGGGGUCAUCCCGACUUACCAACCCGAUGCAAACUGCGAAUACCGGAGAAUGUUAUCACGGGAGACACACGGCGGGUGCUAACGUCCGUCGUGAAGAGGGAAACAACCCAGACCGCCAGCUAAGGUCCCAAAGUCAUGGUUAAGUGGGAAACGAUGUGGGAAGGCCCAGACAGCCAGGAUGUUGGCUUAGAAGCAGCCAUCAUUUAAAGAAAGCGUAAUAGCUCACUGGUCGAGUCGGCCUGCGCGGAAGAUGUAACGGGGCUAAACCAUGCACCGAAGCUGCGGCAGCGACGCUUAUGCGUUGUUGGGUAGGGGAGCGUUCUGUAAGCCUGUGAAGGUGUGCUGUGAGGCAUGCUGGAGGUAUCAGAAGUGCGAAUGCUGACAUAAGUAACGAUAAAGCGGGUGAAAAGCCCGCUCGCCGGAAGACCAAGGGUUCCUGUCCAACGUUAAUCGGGGCAGGGUGAGUCGACCCCUAAGGCGAGGCCGAAAGGCGUAGUCGAUGGGAAACAGGUUAAUAUUCCUGUACUUGGUGUUACUGCGAAGGGGGGACGGAGAAGGCUAUGUUGGCCGGGCGACGGUUGUCCCGGUUUAAGCGUGUAGGCUGGUUUUCCAGGCAAAUCCGGAAAAUCAAGGCUGAGGCGUGAUGACGAGGCACUACGGUGCUGAAGCAACAAAUGCCCUGCUUCCAGGAAAAGCCUCUAAGCAUCAGGUAACAUCAAAUCGUACCCCAAACCGACACAGGUGGUCAGGUAGAGAAUACCAAGGCGCUUGAGAGAACUCGGGUGAAGGAACUAGGCAAAAUGGUGCCGUAACUUCGGGAGAAGGCACGCUGAUAUGUAGGUGAAGUCCCUUGCGGAUGGAGCUGAAAUCAGUCGAAGAUACCAGCUGGCUGCAACUGUUUAUUAAAAACACAGCACUGUGCAAACACGAAAGUGGACGUAUACGGUGUGACGCCUGCCCGGUGCCGGAAGGUUAAUUGAUGGGGUCAGCGCAAGCGAAGCUCUUGAUCGAAGCCCCGGUAAACGGCGGCCGUAACUAUAACGGUCCUAAGGUAGCGAAAUUCCUUGUCGGGUAAGUUCCGACCUGCACGAAUGGCGUAAUGAUGGCCAGGCUGUCUCCACCCGAGACUCAGUGAAAUUGAACUCGCUGUGAAGAUGCAGUGUACCCGCGGCAAGACGGAAAGACCCCGUGAACCUUUACUAUAGCUUGACACUGAACAUUGAGCCUUGAUGUGUAGGAUAGGUGGGAGGCUUUGAAGUGUGGACGCCAGUCUGCAUGGAGCCGACCUUGAAAUACCACCCUUUAAUGUUUGAUGUUCUAACGUGGACCCGUGAUCCGGGUUGCGGACAGUGUCUGGUGGGUAGUUUGACUGGGGCGGUCUCCUCCUAAAGAGUAACGGAGGAGCACGAAGGUUGGCUAAUCCUGGUCGGACAUCAGGAGGUUAGUGCAAUGGCAUAAGCCAGCUUGACUGCGAGCGUGACGGCGCGAGCAGGUGCGAAAGCAGGUCAUAGUGAUCCGGUGGUUCUGAAUGGAAGGGCCAUCGCUCAACGGAUAAAAGGUACUCCGGGGAUAACAGGCUGAUACCGCCCAAGAGUUCAUAUCGACGGCGGUGUUUGGCACCUCGAUGUCGGCUCAUCACAUCCUGGGGCUGAAGUAGGUCCCAAGGGUAUGGCUGUUCGCCAUUUAAAGUGGUACGCGAGCUGGGUUUAGAACGUCGUGAGACAGUUCGGUCCCUAUCUGCCGUGGGCGCUGGAGAACUGAGGGGGGCUGCUCCUAGUACGAGAGGACCGGAGUGGACGCAUCACUGGUGUUCGGGUUGUCAUGCCAAUGGCACUGCCCGGUAGCUAAAUGCGGAAGAGAUAAGUGCUGAAAGCAUCUAAGCACGAAACUUGCCCCGAGAUGAGUUCUCCCUGACUCCUUGAGAGUCCUGAAGGAACGUUGAAGACGACGACGUUGAUAGGCCGGGUGUGUAAGCGCAGCGAUGCGUUGAGCUAACCGGUACUAAUGAACCGUGAGGCUUAACCUUACAACGCCGAAG
rnacentral:rRNA from 1 species